AGAGGCCAGGACAGUAGAUUGCAGUAAUUUGCAGUUUAUCUCCCACUGAUACCUUCAGUCUCUAAAGUCUUGAGCAUCUCUGCUACACUCCUUAAGAAAAUUACCUGGACAACAAAGCUGUCCAAACAUGGUAGGUCAGUGAUUCCCUGUUUCCCUCUGGAUUCAUGUCAGCAAGGAGGUGCCACUCUUUUUCCAGAAGGACAGUAACAAAGUUUGCUCCCCUGUCUGUUGCAGAAACUCAGGAGACAGGAUGCCUUCCCGAAGCACUUCAUUUCCAGAGCUGGACCAAUGUUUCUGUCACCACAGAGGACUUCCAGUGCUCAGUAUGAAGAUAUCUGGGAACAACAAGAUUUUGGCUCAGAAUAAGGAUCCCACUUCAACAUAACCUAACCCUCUUCACAAUCCCACACUUGGACUGAUCAUGUUCCUGGGGAAGGAGGGCACAGCUUCAUUAACCCAGCAAAGAUGCACCCAGUUGCCUCAGGAGUUAAUCUGGCAGCUUCACUGCAAGGGACUGGCUCAGAAGCUUCUUCAGCUGUGCACAUGGGCACAGCACCUCCCUGGGCCCUGGGCUCCCCCUCAGAAGGUUUUUUCACAGCUACCACAGAAGACAGUGUCAUGUGCCACUUACUACAGCAUGUACCAUUUAGCUCUGGAGAGAUGCUCUAAGGGCUCACCUGAGGAGUGAGAGCUCAGGCUCCAUGACUGUUACUUCACAACUCAUUGCACUUUGCUGGCUACAGGGCUCCCACAGGCAACUGCCCUAAUCAUGGAAGAAUCCUUUUUUUUCUAUAUACAGAAAGACCACCCUGUUUGGGAAACUUUCCCCUCAAAAUCAAUCCAUUUACAAGGUAAGUUUAAGUUUUUGUGACUCAGUGUUUUCUUUUUUUA
rnacentral:lncRNA from 1 species